rnacentral:rRNA from 1 species
ACAGGCUUAACACAUGCAAGUCGAGGGGCAGCAUGAUUUGUAGCAAUACAGAUUGAUGGCGACCGGCGCACGGGUGAGUAACGCGUAUGCAACUUACCUAUCAGAGGGGGAUAGCCCGGCGAAAGUCGGAUUAAUACCCCAUAAAACAGGGGUCCCGCAUGGGAAUAUUUGUUAAAGAUUCAUCGCUGAUAGAUAGGCAUGCGUUCCAUUAGGCAGUUGGCGGGGUAACGGCCCACCAAACCGACGAUGGAUAGGGGUUCUGAGAGGAAGGUCCCCCACAUUGGUACUGAGACACGGACCAAACUCCUACGGGAGGCAGCAGUGAGGAAUAUUGGUCAAUGGCCGAGAGGCUGAACCAGCCAAGUCGCGUGAAGGAAGAAGGAUCUAUGGUUUGUAAACUUCUUUUAUAGGGGAAUAAAGUGGAGGACGUGUCCUUUUUUGUAUGUACCCUAUGAAUAAGCAUCGGCUAACUCCGUGCCAGCAGCCGCGGUAAUACGGAGGAUGCGAGCGUUAUCCGGAUUUAUUGGGUUUAAAGGGUGCGUAGGUGGUGAUUUAAGUCAGCGGUGAAAGUUUGUGGCUCAACCAUAAAAUUGCCGUUGAAACUGGUUACUUGAGUGUGUUUGAGGUAGGCGGAAUGCGUGGUGUAGCGGUGAAAUGCAUAGAUAUCACGCAGAACUCCGAUUGCGAAGGCAGCUUACUAAACCAUAACUGACACUGAAGCACGAAAGCGUGGGGAUCAAACAGGCUUAGAUACCCUGGUAGUCCACGCAGUAAA